rnacentral:rRNA from 1 species
AUACGGAGGGGGUUAGCGUUGUUCGGAAUUACUGGGCGUAAAGCGCACGUAGGCGGACUGGAAAGUUGGGGGUGAAAUCCCGGGGCUCAACCCCGGAACUGCCUCCAAAACUUCCAAUCUAGAGAUCGAGAGAGGUAAGUGGAAUUCCUAGUGUAGAGGUGAAAUUCGUAGAUAUUAGGAGGAACACCAGUGGCGAAGGAGGCUUACUGGCUCGAUUCUGACGCUGAGGUGCGAAAGCGUGGGGAGCAAACAGGAUUAGAAACCCUUGUAGUCC